rnacentral:misc_RNA from 1 species
ACAGACGUCGGAGCGACUACUCAAGCAGCGGAGGGAUGUCGGUCGAGUGGCUAGGGGUGACAUGCAACCCUGCACUUGUUCCACACCAUUCCAGUAGAAGUGUUCACAGCUCCUCAACCAUGUACGCAAGGUCACCAGAUCUUCAGCCAGAGACGGUGACCCAGUUUUUGUUUGACAAUCCGGAUUUCCUCGACAGUUUUGUACAGCAGCACGUGCUCGAAGAUAAGAUACGACAGUGGUCCCAGCGGAAGCAUAAAGUUCAAGGUCACAACCCCGUGGCCCUCACUAAUGGUGAUUUGAUAAAAGACCAAAGAAGCAAUUGGAAGAACUGUGUUCAGUCUAAAAAAUGGCGGAUUCUCCAAGAUCUCACCAAGGACAAUACAACCAAUAAAGCCAGAGUGUUCACGGAACUAGCUGCGUGCGCAGCCGAAUCCGUGAACGCUGAUGGACACAAUCUCUACUUAGUGGAUGAACAAAACCAGCUGUUUCUGGCCAGUAAAAGUAGCAGAAACCAGCGUGCCCCAACGGCAUGCGUGGGAAGAAUCGAACCCCGGACCUCUCUCCCGGCCUAUGUAGCCUACACCAAAGAGUCACUCCUCACAAACAGUUUACUAGGGGACCCUCGGUUCCCCCUGGGGAUGGGCGUGGAGACAGAGAGGGGCGUGUCCGCUAUUGCUGUCCCCCUGCUUCACGGAAACAACCUCAUACUAGGCGUUGUGGAGCUGUACAGAAACUAUGGCAGCAUGCCUUUCUCACCGGAAGAGGAAGAGGUCGCCGAAAUGAUGCUAGUUUGGGCUGACAUUUGUAUGGAAUACGUUGAGAUGUACAACAGUAUGAUGAAACAGAGAAAACUCAACGAUUUCUUACUGGCAGUGACAAAAUCUAUAUUUCAAGAUAUUGUCAGCAUGGAUACUGUUAUAAUGAAAAUCAUGAACUAUGCCAAGAAGCUGGUCAUCGCUGACCGUGCCUCCCUAUUCCUGGUGGACACCAAGAGUCGCGAGCUGUACGCGCGAAUCUUUGACACUGGACGUGUGGAGGAACAUAUACCUCAGAAAGAAAUCAGAUUCCCCAUGGACAGAGGCGUGGCAGGUCACGUGGCCUCCACGGGGGAGGUGCUAAACAUCGCGGACGCCUACACAGACAGUCGCUUUAAUCGUGACGUGGACCUCCAGACGGGCUACAGGACCAAGAGUAUUCUCUGUAUGCCCAUCUACAACCGGGGCAAUAUUAUUGGCGUCGUCCAGAUGGUGAAUAAAAUCGACGGUGUCUUUACUAAGGCGGACGAGGAGUCGUUUGAAACCUUCGCCAUUUACUGCGGUCUUGCUCUACAUCACGCUAAAUUGUACGACAAGAUCCGCCGGUCAGAGCAGAAGUACCGCGUGGCUGUGGAGGUGCUGUCCUACCACAGCCAGUGUAACGAUGAGGAGUACAUGUUAACGAAGAACGUGCCCAUUCCGAGCGACAUUCCCGACAUCCUAGAUUACGAUUAUUCCCCUUGGGCGAUAGACAGUGACCACAAGCCAGUAUAUGUUCUGUACAUGAUGAGGGACAUCUUUAAAAUGCAUUCACAAAGGUUUGACCUGGACGACAUGAUUAGAUUCACCCUCACCGUACGCAAAAACUACCGGAACGUCCCCUACCACAACUGGGCCCACGCCUUCUCCGUGGCCCACGCCAUGUUCACCGUCAUCAAAACGUCAGAGCACCGAUUCACGCCCAUAGAGUGUUUGGCCUUAUACGUCGCUUGUCUCUGUCAUGAUCUUGAUCACCGAGGGAAAACUAACGCUUUUAUGGUCAAGAGCGCCUCCCCUCUGGCUGCCAUAUACUCCACCUCUACAAUGGAGCACCAUCAUUUUAACCACACCGUUACCAUUUUACAGAAUGAAGGUCACAACAUUUUCAAACAUCUUACCUCAGCGGAAUACAAACAGAUUCUGAGCGAUAUCCGCCAUUGUAUACUAGCCACAGACUUGGCACUGUUCUUUGCCAAUAGGUCUCGUCUCCAGGAUAUUGCCGACAAGGGCGAGUUUUCCUGGGACAAUGCGGACCACAGAAUGCUUCUUCAAGCCGUUAUCAUAACGGGCUGCGAUCUUUGCGCAAGCGCAAAACCUUGGGAUAUUCAACUAGACCUGGUCAAGUCGAUUUUCGAUGAGUUCUAUAAAGAGGCGGCUUGUAAUGGCCAACAGUAUGACUGCUGCCGAUCUGUGCUCCAUGUACAAACCCUGGAAACUCCAGGUGCAACUGGUUGACGUCAUAAUGGAGGAGUUCUGGCAGCAGGGAGACGAGGAGAGAUCACAGGGGCUGACCCCCAUGCCAAUGAUGGACAGACAGAAAAAGAACGAAUUACCCCACCUAGAGGUUGGAUUUCUGGUGGGCAUUUGUCUACCUUGUUAUGAAGUGAUGGCACAAAUUUUGCCGGAAACAAAACCGAUGGUGAACGGAGCCGUUGCAAACUUGAAAAAAUGGCGGGAACUGGCCGAUAAAGAAGCGCUUGAGAAAGAGAAAGAGAAGGAGAGAGAAAAACAGACGGAAGAAACUCAGGACGAGGUUAUAAAGGAACCUCCAGUGACAAAACCCAGUGAUGACGUCAUUGUGACGUCAGAAAAGAACACUUUAUUACCAGCGGACGUUUUAGAUGACAGUGCUUCAGACACGAGUUUUUUGGCGGCAGACAAGCCAUUGCCCGACCCGCCAAGUGGCCGGACCUCCAACACGAGUGUGCCGUCAGAGAAAACUGUGUUAUCCUCACAAAGUGAGGAGUCCCGAUAGCUCGCUCCAGAGCGCUGCAUUAUAGCGCCGUGGGGUGUUUCCAUUGAAUCGUAAUAUGUGUUUAGCUACUACGCAGGGUAACUUUCGAGCGCGCAUGCUUUGUGAUUCUAAGGUCUGUGAUUUAUUUAUAUUUGAUACCCGAGAGAGCAUGCCGUUCGAGUACUCUCAGAUAAUUUAUUCGGAACCUCUUAUUUAUUUUCAUGAUGAUAAUACUCCAUGACGUUCCCUCCUAUCUGCGUUUGAUUCCGUUACAUGUACGUUGAUGUGUUGGAUAUUGUAGAAUAAAUCGUUAUGAAAC